rnacentral:rRNA from 1 species
GUGAACGCUGGCGGUAGGCCUAACACAUGCAAGUCGAACGGCAGCACAGUAAGAGCUUGCUCUUACGGGUGGCGAGUGGCGGACGGGUGAGGAAUACAUUGGAAUCUACUUUUUCGUGGGGGAUAACGUAGGGAAACUUACGCUAAUACCGCAUACGACCUACGGGUGAAAGCAGGGGAUCUUCGGACCUUGCGCGAGUGAAUGAGCCGAUGUCGGAGUAGCUAGUUGGCGGGGUAAAGGCCCACCAAGGCGACGAUCCGUAGCUGGUCUGAGAGGAUGAUCAGCCACACUGGAACUGAGACACGGUCCAGACUCCUACGGGAGGCAGCAGUGGGGAAUAUUGGACAAUGGGCGCAAGCCUGAUCCAGCCAUACCGCGUGGGUGAAGAAGGCCUUCGGGUUGUAAAGCCCUUUUGUUGGGAAAGAAAAGCAGCAGGUUAAUACCCCGCUGUUCUGACGGUACCCAAAGAAUAAGCACCGGCUAACUUCGUG